GUCUGCAGAGGUGGAACCAGGACUUGAGUCUGCUUGGCAGUACUGCUGAACUGUGUCCUUGUUAGCUUCAGAGAAAGCACCCUGAUGAAGAACAAUGCAGAAUCUGGAGUAGUUGCUGCAGCAUCACACAUUUUAAAAAUCGCAGAUAUUCAUU